rnacentral:rRNA from 1 species
CUACGGGAGGCAGCAGUGGGGAAUAUUGCACAAUGGGCGCAAGCCUGAUGCAGCCACGCCGCGUGUAUGAAGAAGGCCUUCGGGUUGUAAAGUACUUUCAGCGGGGAGGAAGGGAGUAAAGUUAAUACCUUUGCUCACUGACGUUACCCGCAGAAGAAGCACCGGCUAACUCCGUGCCAGGAGCCGCGGUAAUACGGAGGGUGCAAGCGUUAAUCGGAAUGACUGGGCGUAAAGCGCACGCAGGCGGGUUGUUAAGUCAGGUGUGAAAUCCCCGGGCUCAACCGGGGAACUGCAUCUGAUACUGGCAAGCUGGAGUCUCGGAGAGGGGGGUAGAAUUCCAGGUGUAGCGGUGAAAUGCGUAGAGAUCUGGAGGAAUACCGGUGGCGAAGGCGACCCCCUGGAAGAAGACUGACGCUCAGGUGCGAAAGCGUGGGGAGCAAACAGGAUUAGAUACCCCAGUAGUC